rnacentral:misc_RNA from 1 species
UACGUAGGGGGCAAGCGUUGUCCGGAAUCAUUGGGCGUAAAGAGCUCGUAGGCGGCUCAGCAAGUCGGGUGUGAAACCUCCAGGCUCAACCUGGAGACGCCACCCGAUACUGCUGUGGCUAGAGUCCAGUAGAGGAGUGUGGAAUUCCCAGUGUAGCGGUGAAAUGCGCAGAUAUUGGGAGGAACACCAGCGGCGAAGGCGGCACUCUGGGCUGGUACUGACGCUGAGGAGCGAAAGCAUGGGUAGCAAACAGG